rnacentral:rRNA from 1 species
UACGUAGGGUGCAAGCGUUGUCCGGAAUUAUUGGGCGUAAAGAGCUCGUAGGCGGUUUGUCGCGUCUGCUGUGAAAACCCGAGGCUCAACCUCGGGCCUGCAGUGGGUACGGGCAGACUAGAGUGCGGUAGGGGAGAUUGGAAUUCCUGGUGUAGCGGUGGAAUGCGCAGAUAUCAGGAGGAACACCAAUGGCGAAGGCAGAUCUCUGGGCCGUAACUGACACUGAGGGACGAAAGCUAGGGGAGCGAAUGGG